AUUAGUUACCGUUGCCGUAAAGGAAUAGUACAAAAUGAAAUUCUUCGUUGUAGCCUUCUUUGUGUUGUAUUGCGCCUUUUCUGUGCAAGGAGAAUGUAGUUUCCAGUAUGCAGACAACGGAGAUGGAGGUGUACUGGAUGAAAACUUAAACUACAAAAAGGACUCGGUUCUAGUUUGGGUUGAUGUAGCUAACAACUGUGCACAAUUUGCUAAUGCUGACGGCCGGCAAUGGUUGGCAACCUGGGUAAUUGCUUCAGAAUCGUUUAACGAUAGUAGGAAUGGACCAGUCAUUCCA